rnacentral:lncRNA from 1 species
UUCUUCUUGCCCAAACCUUGUUGUUGCUCCUUCUCUGAACCUACUGCUGCUACUCCACUUCCUCUACUCCACUUUAAACAUAUUGUGAUAUGAAGCAUUUUCAUUCUGACCAUAACCUUGUUUCUUCCAUCUCUUACAUGUUAGAUAGUCAUUUGUGUUCAUUUCCAUUUUGUCGAUAAUGUUCGUGUUAGCAUUUUAUUUUCUCAAGCAUUACGAAAAUAUCAAAAAGACAGUGAGUAAAAUCUUUAUUUUCCUGUUUUCAUUACUAGUUUGUGUGACUUAGUUUUAGUUGAGUGCAAUUGUCGUCACCUAGUCUGAUGCGGAGCAUCCUUCGGUCAUCCCCAUGGAUCUACCAUCGUCUCACCAAGCACCAAGAGGACCCAUGACAAGAGCACGAGCUAGAGCUCUCGAGACCUAGGUGACUUCUCUCCUUAGUGAUAUCUCAUAUGAUCCUCACGAGACAUGGCUACUACCUAAGUCCGGAAUGUUGUGUAUGAUUAGGUACCAAGAGGACCCUCCCGAGGAUGCACAUGAAGAUGGUCAAGCCCCCAAGUCCAUGGAAGAAGAGAACCAACGUAGGAAGGCGAGGACACCUUCCAGUCACCGGACAUCCGGCCAGGGCCCCGGACAUCCGACCCCUCGAGAUCUUCCCCACAGCUAGGAGCGUGCAACAGAAGCUACAGGGCCCAGACAUCCGACGUCCAGCCCGGACAUCCGGCCCACCGCCCCGGAAAUCCGGUCACAAGCCCGGACAUCCGGACACGCCGUCCAGAGAGGACAUAAGGCUGCCCCGACGGCCCGGACAUCCGGCCUUCACCCCGGACCUCCGGCGCCUCCCGAAGCCCCAGACAUCCGGCCCCUCCGCCCGGACAUCCGGCCCCGUCCAUUCAGAGAGCAUCAAGGCCAACUCCACCAGCCUGGACAUCUGGCCCCUCGCGAGUGCCCGGACAUCCGGCCCGACGCCCGGACAUCCAGCCCCCUCCUGCCUGCAUGCAGCACAUCCAGGCUGUGGCCCAUGUACCCCGUAGACUAUAUAUACUCCCCCUCCACCUAUGUUUUAGGGUUAGCAUUGGUUUAGCUCAUUUGAGAUAGAGCAUUUCUCAUCCGUACCAGAUCUACUCCUCGUGAGGGACCGCACCUCUUCAGAGAAGAUCCACCUGGAUUCAAGACCUCCAUCCGGAGAAGACAAUUAAGACCUCCUCACGGAGAAAAACGGUUACUCUUGUAUCAUCCCUUGUUGACUUUGGAUCUCGCGUUACUUUGUGCCUCGAUGAUCUAGUACUUGUGUGAUCAUAUUCGUGUUGGCUGAGUGUUUCUCUUGUUUUCCCCCGUGAUUUCCCUCGCGUUCUUCCGCGCGUUCUUGAUUUUCCUCGUACGGAUCCUCUCCAAACGUGAAAGAUCGGCCCCAUAGGGUUCCGCCCUACAUCAUCUUGGUAUCAUGAGCCACGUUGAUCAUGUUUUUGGAGCCCCUACCCCGUGUUUUCUAGCUUGAUUUUGUUGUUUUCGUCCUAAAUCCGAAAAUCCUCACCAAAAAAUAGCCCCAAUUUUUUUUUGUGAUUUGUUGGUGUGAUGAAGUUUUGUUGGAUUUGAUCCAUGGAUCUGCUUUGCAUCGAGCGGAUCUAGCUUUUCCCCAUCUCUCCCGCAAUUUCCAUCCACAAAUUCGUCCGAAUUUUGCCCCGGAGUUGCCCUUUUCCCGUAGAGUUCAUCCUGUUCGGCCACGAUCCAGGCGCCUGGACUUCUGUCCGUGUGCCCGGACAUCCGGUGUCUUGGACAUCCCGCCACUGGCCCGGACAUCCGGCCCCUGGUGGCAGCAACUCCAUCCCUCCGCGCCAUUUUCUGCCUAGUUUCACCAAAUUUUGCCCCGGUGCCCACGCAUACUUCUGCAUACUACCACCACUUUCCACAAGCACCACCACCGCUCACCGCUACCUCCUAUGACGAUUUUGACACAUUUUGGUCUCUGAGAUUUUGGGUUGUGGUUCCCGUGUCCUAUUGUGUUUCGGCUAUAUAGAUACGGUUCAACGUCAACAUCACCACCACUCAUCUUCGCAGAGGACUCAUCAUCGCCAAGGACGGUAACUUCGUCGACAUCUUUGUCAUACCUUGCAAUUGCAUUGAUAACUGCAUGGCCUUACAUUUGCGUAGCUUACCCAUCGAGACUAGCCAUUGAGUAUUGCCAGCAACGUGGCUUGUGCACAUUAGUGAUCAUACUCCAUAACAUACAUACCAUACCAUAGUGGUGCAUAUCUUGGCAUCAUCUUUUGUGUCACAAAGUUGUCGUAGCAUACACAAUUGCUAUCUUGGUUCAUGAAGUUUUGCAUGAGAAAAGAGCUCAAAAGUGAAAGAGUGGCACACACUUUUAAGCAAAGAGGGAAAGAUAAGCAAAGAGCUUAUAAGCAAGAACCAUAGCAUCAUACUACAUUAAGAUUGUCAUAUCCGAUCAUCUUGGAUCAUAUCACCGAAAUACCAUACAUAUAGCAUACGUGAGAUAGAGGUCGUUGCACUUUUUCCUAGUAGGUUGUGCACAAGUUCUAUUGUGCAAUCAUGCUAGCGUCUCUCGUGUAUUGUGCAACAAGAGCAUUUUCGUGGAUUCCACAUUUUGGCUCACUUUUGGUUUGCACAAUCUCACUUAUCUAUUUGCAUGUGUGUUUCCAUGUACCUCUACUUGUUUGGUCUACUUGUUGCAUUUGCAAAUUUGUGAAUCUUUUCCAACAUUAUUGAAGCUCACUUACAAUUGCAUCAAAUUUUGUGCCACCAUCCUAACCAAGCUCCACCAUAAGCUUUUACUUGUGUAGGUGUGAAAACCGACAAGAUUUGGUAACAAUUGUGCUAUUUCAUUGUCCGCAUUUGAGUGAUCUCGAUUCAUUGUCAACAUCGGUCAAGGUACAUUGGGUAUAAGUUAUUCUCUUUCUUCUACUCACAUUUUUGCUUGCAAUGAUGGAUAGGCCAAGUUCUUCUACCAACCCACUCUUCAUCGAGCAAGACGACGGCAUGUCAUCAUUCGUCACCAAGAGCCACCUCUUUGGUGCACAACGAGUGUUGCAUCAAGAGCAACAAGCGAUGACCGACCACAUCGACAACCUCGCCACCGACUUGCGACUCUCCGAGCAACGUACAAGGGACUACUUCGACAACAAGCUCGAUGCUCACAAGCAAGAGAAGGAUGCAAGAAUGGACAAGACCCGCGCCUUGUUGGUGAACCGUCCUCCUUCAACUUCUUCAUACUCAAGACGGAGCCGCUCAAGUCGACACUCCGAUGACACCUUCUCCGGCUCAAGUACACCGACAUCGAACACUCUUCGACGAGCCACGCGUCAAGACCGUCAUGCAUCCCGCAAUCCUCUACACGACAAGCAUUCACAAGAGCAAGUCGAUGAGCAAGUACUUCAUCCUCAACCACACCAAGUUGCUUUUGCACAAGCUCAAGAACUACAACGUCAACGACACCAAGAGGAAGAACGAGCGCGUCUACAUCAAGAGGAACAAGACGCCGAGGCUCAAUGUCUUCAACAACAACAACGUGAAGCACAAGCUCUUGAGGCGCAACGUGCCCUUCAAGAAUCAAGUCGAGCAAUCGCCAACCGCAACCGAGAUCGGCGCAAUCAAGAGGAAGCACUUCAAGAAGAAAUCCAAGAGCGGAACUACCAACCGCGAGUGCAACGUCAAGUUCCUCAAGCUCCUCCACAAGCUCGACAAGUUCCACCUCAACCUCAAGUUCAACAAGAGUAAGUUAAUCAUGGACUUCCCCCACGCCAAGAGCAACAUGAGGAUGAUUACCCUCCACGUCAAGGGCGUCAUCAUCACCAUUGACCACAACACAAUGAAGAGCAAUGCUACGGCAAGCUAAAAUUCACAAUGCCCAAGUUCAAUGGAAGCAAUGAUCCCGAAGAGUACCUCUCAUGGUCAUUGAAGGUCGACAAAAUCUUUCGUUUGCACAACUAUGAGGAAGAGAAGAAGAUCGCUAUGGCAUCACUUGAGUUCCAAGACUAUGUGCUCAUAUGGUGGGAACAAGUCCUUGAGCGCCGAGAAGCAAGAGGUGAACCACCUAUCACCACUUGGGCUCAAAUGAAGGAUGUCGUGCGAGCAUGUUUUGUGUCCACCUACUACAACCGCGAUCUCUUCAAGAAGCUCCAACUCCUCAAGCAAGGAACAAAGAGUGUUGAAGAAUACUACAAGGAAAUGGAGAUAGCCAUGAUUCGAGCUAAUGUCAUGAAAGAUGCUGAGCAAACUAUGGCACAUUUCUUGAAUGGACUCAAUCAUCCCAUCAAGAAGAUCGCCGACUUCCAACCCUACUCCAACCUCAUUGAGCUCGUGCAUCAAGCUACCAAGACGGAACGUCAAGUGCAAGAUGACUUAAAGUACGCCAAGUACUCGUCCAAGACCUACGGCUUCUCCAACACCCAAGCUUCAACGAAUCCUCCAAUUUCUACCUCAACCAAGCCAUUUACAAGCAAUGACGACAAGUCAAGUUACAAGAAAACUUCGACAAGCUCAAGUCGUCCUCCUCCUACUACAAGCAACUUCAAGCCGCGCGCUUCAUCAUCCACUCCGACCGAUGAGACCGUCAAGACAAGCUCCUUCAAGUGUUUCACUUGCGGCGGCCGAGGCCACAAGUCCUUCGAAUGCACAAACAAGCGCACCAUGAUCCUCAACGAUGAUGGAACAUAUGACUCCAUGAGUGAAGAGGAGAUGGAAGCCCUUGAGCAAGUGGCCAUGCACCGACUCGUGAACGAGGAUGAAGAUGAUCAAGUCUUUUGUGAUGAGGAUUCGAGCCCCGCUCUCGUUGUCUCCAAAGUCUUGACUCUUCAACAUUAACAAGAAGAAGACCAACGAUGCCACAUCUUCCACACAAAGGCCGACAUCAAUGGAAGGUCUGUCAAGUUCAUCAUCGAUGGAGGUAGUUGCCACAACUUGGCAAGUGGAGAACUAUGGUCCAGGCUUCAAUUGGUCAAGAUGAAGCACCCGCACCCAUACAAAGUCCAAUGGAUAAGCGACUCCGGCACUAUACAGUUGAGCGUAUGGUCCAAGUCUCCUUCAAAAUUGGUGCAUAUGAGGACACUUUGGAGUGUGAUAUCGUCCCGAUGUCCAUUUUCCACCUCCUUCUUGGUAGGCCUUGGCAAUUUGACCGCGGUGUCAUCCACAACGGGCGUACCAAUCACUAUAGCUUCACGAUGAAAGGGAAGGAGUAUGUGCUGCGACCUAUGUCUCCUAGUCAAGUGAUAGCCAACAAGCAAGCCACCCAUCAUGGAGAGAAGAGUGAGAAAGUGAUCCACCAAAAAGAGAGUGAGAGCCACAAGCCAAAACCGAGUGCCUCCACGAUGAGCGACAAGAAAAACUUAGUCCUAUUUGCCACCAAAAAUGAGAUGAGAGAAGUGUGUGAGAACCCAUCGAGUGUUAUGCACUUUGUCCUUGUGUGCAAGGAUGGAGAACCAAAAACUAACACCUCUCACGAUCUACCUUUAGUGUUUCAAUCUCUUUUGCAGGAAUUCCAAGAUGUUUUCCCCGAUGAGCUACCUCCGGGUCUACCUCCUCUAUGAGGCAUUGAGCAUCGAAUUGACCUCAUCCCCGGAGCACCCCUACCAAACAAAGCUCCAUACCGCGUCAACCCCGAAGAAACUAAGGAGAUCCAACGACAAGUACAACAACUAAUCAACAACGGUCAUGUACGUGAAAGCUUAAGCCCUUGUGACGUUCCCGUUAUACUUGUGCCCAAGCAAGACGAUAGUUUUCGCAUGUGCUCGGAUUGUAGACCUAUCAAUGCUAUUACCAUUCGUUAUAGGCAUCCCAUUCCUCGCCUAGAUGAUACGCUUGAUGAACUUAGCGGUGCCACCAUUUUCUCAAAAAUUGAUCUCAAAAGUGGCUAUUAUCAAAUCCGCAUACAAGAAGGUGAUGAAUGGAAAACCGCUUUCAAAACCAAAUUUGGCUUGUACGAGUGGUUGGUUAUGCCUAUGGGUUUAUCGGAAGCUCCCUGUACUUUCAUGCGUCUUAUGCAUUUUGUGCUUCGCCCUUAUAUUGGAGUGUUUGUUGUGGUUUACUUUGACGAUAUUCUCGUGUUUAGCAAAUCCAUGAAAGAGCAUCUAAAGCAUGUUAGGGCUGUUUUGCAAAUGCUUCGCAAGGAACGUCUUUAUGCCAACAUGAAAAAGUGCACAUUUGGAGUUGACAAGUUGGUUUUCUUGGGUUUUGUUGUCUCUUCCAAGGGUGUCCAUGUUGAUGAAUCUAAAAUUGAAGCAACUAAAACUUGGCCCCAACCUACCAAUUUGCAACAAGUCCGUAGCUUUCUUGGCCUUGCAGAUUUUUAUCGUCGCUUUGUGAAAGAUUUUAGCACUAUUGCCGCUCCUUUGCAUGCCUUGAGUAAGAAGAAUGCUUCUUUUGUUUGGGGAUCUUUGCAAUCCACCGCUUUUGAUGAGCUCAAGUCUUUGCUUACUCAUGCUCCGAUUCUUGCUUUGCCCAACUUUGACAAAACUUUUGAGGUUCAUUGUGAUGCAAGUGGUACCAGAAUUGCCGGAGUUUUGAUGCAAGAAAAACGAGCUAUUGCAUAUUUUAGUGAAAAACUCUCCGGUGCUCAACUUAACUAUCCCAUUUAUGACAAAGAAUUGUAUGCUUUAGUGCGUGUGCUAUAUGUUUGGGAGCAUUACCUUAGACCUCAUGAGUUUGUCGUCCAUACCAAUCAUGAAACACUUAAGUACUUAAAAGGUCAAACUAAGUUGAACAAGCGUCAUGCCAAAUGGACUGAAUUCAUUGAAUCUUUCCCCUAUGCGAUCAAGUACAUUAAGGGUAAGGAAAAUGUAGUUGUGGAUGCACUUUCACGCAUAUGCACUCUUGUCACUAAACUUGAGUUGAAUGUUAUUGGUUUUGAGCACAUAAAAGACUUGUAUGCUAAUGACCCAUCUUUUGCUACUCCUUAUGCUAAAUGUUUGACGCAUACAUCUUGGGAACGAUAUUACAUCAAGGAUGAUUAUCGUAUGAGAGCUAACAAACUUUGCAUUCCCAAGUCUUCUCUUCGUUUCCUCCUUUUGCAAGAGGCUCAUGGAGGCGGACUCAUGGGACACUUUGGACGUGACAAGACAUUCGCCACGCUCUCCAAUAACUACUUUUGGCCCAAGAUGUUCCGCGACGUCUCACGCUUCACCAACCGAUCCUCUACAUGUCACAAAGCUAAGUCUAGAGUUCAAUCCCAUGGUCUUUACAUGCCUCUUCCUAUUCCUUAUCAACCUUGGGAAGACAUUAGCAUGGAUUUCAUACUUGGUUUUCCUAGAACUCAAAAUGGAAAGGAUUCCGUGUUUGUUGUUGUGGACCGAUUUUCCAAGAUGGCACAUUUCCUUCCUUGCAACAAGAUAGACGAUGCUUCACAUGUUGCCAAUCUCUUUUGUAGGGAAAUCUUGCGACUCCAUGGAGUACCAAAGACAAUCAUCUCCGACCGCGACGUCAAGUUCUUGAGUUACUUUUGGAAGACGCUAUGUGCCAAGCUCAGAAUCAAGCUUUUCUUCUCAUCCGCAUUUCCUCAAACCGACGGCCAAACGGAGGUGACAAACCGUACGCUCUCCACUCUACUUCGCGUGUUGAUCAAGAAGAACAUCAAGGAGUGGGAGGAGUGUCUACCCAUCGCCGAGUACGCCUACAACCGUGCAAGACAUUUGACGACCGGCAAGUCCCCCUUCGAGGUCGUCUAUGGCUUCAACCCGUUGUCCCCAUUGGACAUUCUACCUCUUCUACUACAAGAGUGCACCAACAUGGAUGCGAGUGCACGCGCAAGCUACAUCAAGAAGAUGCAUGAGGAUACAAGGCACACCAUUGAGUGCCAAGUACAACGACUAACGACCAAGCUCAACAUCAACAAGCAACCCAUGAUAUUCAACAUCGGACAUCUCGUGUGGCUACACCUUCACAAGGACCGCUUCCCCAACAAACGCAAGUCCAAACUUCUCCCUCGAGCCGAUGGGCCCUUCAAGGUGCUAGUAGGCUACAACAACAAUGCUUACAAGAUUGAUCUCCCACACGAAAAGUACAACAUGAGCGACAUCUUCAACGUCAUCGAACUCUCCCUGUAUCAUGGUGAUGAGGAUUUAUGAUGCGGAGCAUCCUUCGGUCGGAUCUUUCCCAAGAGAGGGGAGACGAUGCGGAGCAUCCUUCGGUCAUCCCCAUGGAUCUACCAUCGGCUCAUCAAGCACCAAGAGGACCCAUGACAAGAGCACGAGCUAGAGCUCUCGAGAUCGAGGUGACUUCUCUCCUUAGUGAUAUCUCAUAUGAUCCUCAUGAGACAUGGCUACUACCUAAGUCCGGAAUGUUGUGCAUGAUUAGGUACCAAGAGGACCCUCCCGAGGAUGCACAUGAAGAUGGUCAAGCCCCCAAGUCCAUGGAAGAAGAGAACCAGCGGAGGAAGGCGAGGACACCUUCCAGGCACCGGACAUCCGGCCAGGGCCCCGGACAUCCGGCCCCUGGAGAUCUUCCCCACAGCCAGGAGUCUGCAGCAGAAGCUACAGGGCCCAGACAUCCGGACCACCGCCCCGAAAAUCCAGUGACAAGCCUUGACAUCCGGACACGCCGUCCAGAGAGCACAGAAGGCUGCCCCGACAGCCCGGACAUCCGGCCUUCACCCCGGAGCUCCAGCGCCUCCUGAAGCCCCAGACAUUUGGCCCCGUCCAUACAGAGAGCAGCAAGGCCAAUUCCACCAGCCCGGACAUCCGGCCCCUCGCGAGCACCUGGACAUCCGGCCCCCUCCUGCCUGCGUGCAGCGCAUCCGGGCCAUGGCCCAUGUACCCCAUAGAUCCCCCUCCACCUACGUUCUAGGGUUAGCAUCGGUUUAGCUCAUUUGAGAUAGAGCAUUGCUCAUAUGUACCGGAUCUACUCCUCAUGAGGGACCGCACCUCUUCGGAGAAGAUCCACCCGGAUUCAAGACCUCCAUCCGGAGAAGACAAUCAAGACCUCCUCACAGAGAAGAACGGUUACUCUUGUAUCAUCACUUGUUGACUUUGGAUCUCGUGUUACUUUGUGCCUCGAUGAUCUAGCACUUGCGUGAUCAUAUUCAUGUUGGUUGAGUGUUUCUCUUGUUUUCCCGCGUGAUUUCCCUCGUGUUCUUCCGCGCGUUCUUCGUGUUCCUCAUAGGGAUCCUCUCCAAACGUGAAAGAUCGGCCCCAUAGGGUUCCGCCCUACAUCAUAGUCCCUGAGGAGAAACGACAUCUAUUGUUUGUGGGCGAUUUACUCGCUAUAUUUACGGUUGAUCAUUUUGGCGCCGUUGUCGGGGACUAGCAUCGAGCGAUUAUGUUAGCUAUAUACUAGGUUUAUUUCAGUUUCAUGUUUAAUUCAUUGUGUAUUUAUUUUAUAUUUUUCCUUGUUGUUGCUUCAGCUUAUUAGGAUACUAACAUUCUGACUAGUAUUUACUGUUUAUGAGUGUGUGUAGGAAAUCUGAUCUAUUUGCAGGUUGAUUGAUAGUUACACUUGGUGGAGAUAUGGUGAUGCUUCAUGAUGUUUGCAUGCCAAGCAGCCAAUGCUAUUUCACAGGGCCACUUUGGCCGUCUUUUAAGGCGGAAAAUUUUGAGCUAAAGCCUGGUCUUAUUGCUUUGGUUCAACAACAUCAAUUUGGAGGGUUGCCUACUGAAGAUCCUUACGAGCACUUGCUCCGAGUCCUGGAGUAUUCAGAUACAGUAAAGUACCAUGGAGUUCGUCAAGAUGUUAUCAAGUGCAUGUUAUUCACAUUCUCUCUCGGAGAUGAUGCUCGUGCUUGGUAUCGAUCCUUGCCAUCAAGAUCAUUCGGUUGGAACGAGAUAUCACGAGCUUUCUUGGAUAAAUAUUUCCCACUACACAAGCAGUCUGCAAUUCAAGAUGAGAUCUUCAAUUUCGUCCAGCGUGAAGGUGAGAGCUUGUAUGAUGCUUGGGAGAGAUACAAAACCUUAUUCAGGAGAUGUCCUAAUCAUGGGCUCGAGAGAUGGUUAGAGCUGCAGAUAUUCUAUAGAGGGUUGACUUUGGACACUCGAGCUUACGUCGAUAUGGCAAUAGGUGAAGCUAUUACAAACAAGACACUUGAUGAUGCCUUUUUUGCUGAUUGAGAGCAUAGCUUUCCACCAACUUCGGUGGUACAGUGAGAGACCCAACUCAGAUUUGUUGGUUUGCUAUCACCACACUUCACCUCAGCAAGAAGGUCUUACACAAAAGCCAGAACCAGUUUCUCCGUGUGACAAGAUUGAGCUUUCAUAGAUUAUCUUUGACGAUGAUAACACCAGCCUAGUUGACACACACAUUGCAGAUCAUAUGGAUACUAGUGUUCGAGGUUCAGUUUUGCAUUGUGAUGAUUCUUCUGUGGAUGAACCAGAGCUGCAGUUAGUUACCUUUGAUAUUGAGGAGUCACCUCUGGUUGAUAUAGACCAUGUGCUUCCUGAACCAGACAUGGAGAAGUUCACCUUUGAUGACAUUAGCCACAUUGAUUCCUCAACACUUGAGCCUAAGAUGGAAACCUUUAUUGUUGAUUAUGAUGAGGUUGCUCUAGAUGUCAAGAAGCCAAGCUCUAAUAUUUCACUUGUUGACACGAGUCCGGUGGAAAUUUCUACUACCAUGCCUUCCAUAGUAUCUUCCACUAAAGUAGUCCUAAAACUUAUCUCAUAUCAUCCCAUGUAUUAUCUCAACUUUCUUGACAAGUUAUGUCAUAUUGUUGAUAUUACCUAUGCACCAUAUGAAUUGAUGAUACCUGUGUAUGAUAUGCUCAAUAAAUAUGCUUAUGUGAUAGGAUACUAUAUUGAUGACUUAGAGGCGAUGUCCCUAUCAUUUGUAUUGGCUUGUUUGUUGAGUGUUCUUUCAGGUUUUUGCUUGUGCACGAUCCACUACAUGCUGACCAGGUUCGAGGUGAUAUUCCUUGGGACCCCGGUGGAUUCAGAGCAUGGUAACAAGGAGAAGCAAGGAGCACACAUGAGGAUGAGAGAAGCUGGAGCGUGCAAGUGGAAGCAAAAGGAGAAGAGCUGCAGUUUAGAGGUGAUCGAGCGAGUGCUACAUCAUCAAAGCCCGGUGAGCUGUUUCAUGACCCAUUUUGAAAUCAUCAUCCAUUGAUGCUUGCUGAAUUAAAUUGCUAUUUGGGUUGCUUGUGCCACUUCUUAAAUGUUGUCCCACUGAAUUUCACCUUUGACAUAUUGUGCUUGAUGCGAACUUGUGAACUUGAUUGUUGAAUGCCUUGUAAACUAGUGAUCUACACAAUGCUUGCUUUGCUGAAAGUAGUGAAGGCUACUAGUUUUGAGUGCUCAAAUCCCUAGUACACUAGAAAACUUAAUCAUUUUCUGCUUUUACCUUGAUACACCUAGAUCAUUAAGUGUCAGAUGCUGAGUUUGUGCCUAAUGUGUUCCCAUUCAAAGCAAUCACUCACCACUGUGGACUAGCGUGCUAUGUUCCCUGGAUCGGCAGUAUGUGAACCAGACCUAGAUGAGUGAUGAUUCUUGUUUCCUUUUUGUAUUCAUUUGUUAAAUAAGUAAUAAUGAAUAAAUAAUUAUCUGAUCUUACCUGAUAGUAGCAUGUCAUGUUCCCUGGAUCGGUGGCUUGUGAAAUCUGGUUGGAUCGAAUAGGAGUUAAUUAUGUUAAAAAAUGCUAUAAUUGUUGAACCAGGUGUAUACCAUGUUCUCUGGAUCGGUAGUAUGUUCCUUUGGGGAGACAAAUAAAAAACUAAUAAUUGGUCGAGCCAGGUGUAUACCAUGUUCUCGGGAUCGGUGGUAUGUUCCUUUGGUGAGACCGAUAAAAUAUUAUCAUUGCUUCCUUCAAAUUCAAUAAGGGGUUCAACCACAAUGUUCCUGGUAAUAAGUGAUCUGAUCACAAGUUUAAGUUCUUUUUGUUUUUUGGAUCAUGCUCUCUUUAGGAACCUUUUGGCACAAUCAGCAUUUGAAUUUGUUGAUCUAUUUUUAUCAUUGUAAAAGUUUAAAAUGAUUGAGUCUACUGGUAUCCUAUUGCUUUGUAGCACUCCUAACCAUUAAUUUUCACUAGCUAAGUCCAAAGCAUGCAUUGUUUAGAUAUCUACUUCACUUGGCAUUCUCUAGUCAGCUCACUAUUCACUAUCUUGCUCUUGUCAUAUGCCUUUGCUUGAGGACAAGCAAAAGUUUAAGUGUGGGGGAACUUGAUAAGCACAUUUCAUAUAUAUAAUUUUGACACACAAAUUCACCAUUUCUUGAGAUGUGUCCAUCUAUUCUUGCUAAGAAUUAUUGAAUAUUUGAUUGAUAAUCAUAAAAUAGAUUGUGACUAGUCGUUUGUUUAUUUUGCAGAGAAGUGCGCAAAGGCACUAUAAACUUCAUGAUUCUGACAUUGAGGAUAACGAUAAGAGUCAAGGGCAUGAAAGAAGAAGAGGAACAAGACAAGGAGCUAGAAGAGAUGAAGAAAGGACUUGGGUGAGAAGAAGUAAACAGAGGGGCAAGAGGGACUUUCUUGUGAAGGAAGAAGAAAAGGAGAAGGGCCAAUCUGAAAAUUGCACAUCUGAUCGAGGGGAUCUAAGGGCCUGUUUGGUUUGCAGCCUAAGGUUGCCACGCCUAAGCUUAGGUGUGCCACAAUAUCUUAGGCAUGUGUUUGGUUCAUUGUCACACUUGUGGCUUGCCAUACUUUUCUAGUUACAUGGUCCACAUGUCAUAGACUCAACUUCUUGCCAAAUUUUGCCACAUUUGUGGUGGCCGUUUUGUUAGCCACACUUUUUGUGGCAGCCGCACUUUGCCUAAGCUUAGUUGUGGCAAAGUUAGUCAUGAACCAAACAAACCCUAAAUCCCUAGCGGCAUCCUUCUUUAUGUUGGAGACUGGCAUCUCCAUCUCCCUCACCCGCCUUCUCCACCACCGGCCGCCGCCGCGGCUAGGCCGGCGCGGCGGUGCGCCAACUAGCACCACCCAUCCUCACCAUCUCCAUCACCCACCGCUGCACAAUCCACCAUCAUCCAUCCACAUCGCCGCCACCAGCGCCGCAUCACCACCACCAUCUCCAGCGCCACCCACGAGCGCUGCCACUCGCGCGACCCGCCAGACUGGCGUCUGACUGCUCGCGCCACUUCUUCCUUCUCUCUACUGCUUCUAUUCUUCUUCCCCUCGCUGCUCCUCCACCUCUCUUCUCCGAAAAAAUGUUGUUGCUGCUCUCUCUCUAACUUCCCCACAUCUCUGCUGUUCUUGCCCAAACCUUGCUGCUGCUCCUUCUCUGAAUCUACUGCUGCUACUCCACUUCCUAUGCUCCUCUUAUUCUUCUCCCUCUGCUGCUGUUCUUCCCCUCAACCUCCUGCUGCUCCUGCUCUUCUAAGCACCCACGCCGCUGAAAUCCUUCUCUGAACCCCAACCUUUGUUGCCUCUUCUUUACCUGCGCUCUACUCCUUCUCCUUUUCCUUUCUUUUGCUGUUGUUCACCUUCAUUGUUGAGUUUCACCAAGGAAACGACCAACCUGAACCCUUCCUGCUGCUGCUUUCUCUCUCUCUAUGUAUCUUCCUCUCUCUGUAAUUCCUUUGAGGUACUUAUGUAUGUUAGAUUCGACUGUAAUCUGCUAUGUACUAGUUUUAUAUGUUACCUGUCCGUGAACUAGUGGCCUAUAAAAUUUAGUUUACUUGUGAUUCUUGUGUUGGAAUAGUUCCUUGUGAAGGCAGAUGUACCUAUUAAAUUUUUAGUCCGCGUGUUAGCUCUGUACCUGUACUUUAAACAUAUUGUGAUAUGAAGCAUUUUCAUUCUAACCAUAACCUUGUUUCUUCCAUCUCUUACAUGUUAGAUAGUCAUUUGUGUUCAUUUCCCUUUUGUCGAUAAUGUCCGUGUUAGCAUUUUAUUUUCUCAAGCAUUACGAAAAUAUCAAAAAGACAGCGAGUAAAAUCUUUAUUUUCCUAUUUUCAUUACUAGUUCGUGUGACUUAGUUUUAUCUGAGCGCAAUUGUCGUCACCUUGUCCCUGAGGAGAAAUGACAUCCAUUGUUUGUGGGCGAUUUACUCGCUAUAUUUACAGUUGAUCACCU